UACGGAGGGGGGCUAGCGUUGUUCGGAAUUACUGGGCGUAAAGCGCACGUAGGCGGCUUUGUAAGUUAGAGGUGAAAGCCCGGGGCUCAACUCCGGAAUUGCCUUUAAGACUGCAUCGCUAGAAUUGUGGAGAGGUAAGUGGAAUUCCGAGUGUAGAGGUGAAAUUCGUAGAUAUUGGGAAGAACACCGGUGGCGAAGGCGGCGCCUGGACGGUAACUGACGCUGAGACGCGAAAGCGUGGGGAGCAAACAGG
rnacentral:rRNA from 1 species